CCUACGGGAGGCAGCAGUGGGGAAUCUUGCGCAAUGGGCGAAAGCCUGACGCAGCCAUGCCGCGUGUAUGAUGAAGGUCUUAGGAUUGUAAAAUACUUUCACCGGUGAAGAUAAUGACUGUAGCCGGAGAAGAAGCCCCGGCUAACUUCGUGCCAGCAGCCGCGGUAAUACGAAGGGGGCUAGCGUUGCUCGGAAUUACUGGGCGUAAAGGGAGCGUAGGCGGACAUUUAAGUCAGAGGUGAAAUCCCGGAGCUUAACUUCGGAACUGCCUUUGAUACUGGGUGUCUUGAGUGUGAGAGAGGUAUGUGGAACUCCGAGUGUAGAGGUGAAAUUCGUAGAUAUUCGGAAGAACACCAGUGGCGAAGGCGACAUACUGGCUCAUUACUGACGCUGAGGCUCGAAAGCGUGGGGAGCAAACAGGAUUAGAUACCCUGGUAGUCCACGCCGUAAACGAUGAUUGCAGUGUCGGUAGCUGUCUCUCGUGACGCNGCUACGCAUAGACAUCCGCCGUGGGAGGUACGGUCGCAGAUAACUACAAGAAGUAGAGCGNGAGACGNGCGAGCGACGACGAGGGAGAG
rnacentral:rRNA from 1 species